GACGAACGCUGGCGGCGUGCUUAACACAUGCAAGUCGAACGGAAAGGCCCUGCUUUUGUGGGGUGCUCGAGUGGCGAACGGGUGAGUAACACGUGAGUAACCUGCCCUUGACUUUGGGAUAACUUCAGGAAACUGGGGCUAAUACCGGAUAGGAUCUCCUGCUGCAUGGUGGGGGUUGGAAAGUUUCGGCGGUUGGGGAUGGACUCGCGGCUUAUCAGCUUGUUGGUGGGGUAGUGGCUUACCAAGGCUUUGACGGGUAGCCGGCCUGAGAGGGUGACCGGCCACAUUGGGACUGAGAUACGGCCCAGACUCCUACGGGAGGCAGCAGUGGGGAAUAUUGCACAAUGGGAGGAAGCCUGAUGCAGAAACGCCGCGUGCGGGAUGACGGCCUUCGGGUUGUAAACAGCUUUCGCCUGUGACGAAGCGUGAGUGACGGUAAUGGGUAAAGAAGCACCGGCUAACUACGUG
rnacentral:rRNA from 1 species